UACGUAGGGAGCAAGCGUUGUCCGGAAUCAUUGGGCGUAAAGCGCGCGUAGGCGGCCUCGUAAGUCCGUUGUGAAAGUCAAAGGCUCAACCUUUGAAAGCCGAUGGAUACUGUGAGGCUAGAGUCCGGAAGAGGCGAGUGGAAUUCCUGGUGUAGCGGUGGAAUGCGCAGAUAUCAGGAGGAACACCGGUGGCGAAGGCGGGUCUCUGGGCAGUAACUGACGCUGAGGAGCGAAAGCGUGGGGAGCGAACGGG
rnacentral:rRNA from 1 species